rnacentral:rRNA from 1 species
GACGAACGCUGGCGGCGUGCCUAAUACAUGCAAGUUGAGCGAUGAAGAUUGGUGCUUGCACCAAUUUGAAGAGCAGCGAACGGGUGAGUAACGCGUGGGGAAUCUGCCUUUGAGCGGGGGACAACAUUUGGAAACGAAUGCUAAUACCGCAUAACAACUUUAAACAUAAGUUUUAAGUUUGAAAGAUGCAAUUGCAUCACUCAAAGAUGAUCCCGCGUUGUAUUAGCUAGUUGGUGAGGUAAAGGCUCACCAAGGCGAUGAUACAUAGCCGACCUGAGAGGGUGAUCGGCCACAUUGGGACUGAGACACGGCCCAAACUCCUACGGGAGGCAGCAGUAGGGAAUCUUCGGCAAUAGACGAAAGUCUGACCGAGCAACGCCGCGUGAGUGAAGAAGGGUUUCGGAUCGUAAAACUCUGUUGGUAGAGAAGAACGUUGGUGAGAGUGGAAAGCUCAUCAAGUGACGGUAACUACCCAGAAAGGGACGGCUAACUACGUG